GUAGUAUUCCCUCCGUCCCAAAAUUCUUGUCUUACAUUUGUUUAGAUACGGAUGUAUCUAACACUAAAAUGUAACUAGAUACAUCCGUAUUUAGACAAAUUUAAGACAAGAAUUUUGGGACGGAGGGUGUACAAA
rnacentral:pre_miRNA from 1 species